rnacentral:rRNA from 1 species
UACGAAGGGGGCUAGCGUUGCUCGGAAUCACUGGGCGUAAAGCGCACGUAGGCGGAUCUUUAAGUCAGAGGUGAAAUCCCAAGGCUCAACCUUGGAACUGCCUUUGAUCUGGGGAUCUCGAGUCCGGAAGAGGUGAGUGGAACUGCGAGUGUAGAGGUGAAAAUCGUAGAUAUUCGCAAGACACCAGUGGCGAAGGCGGCUCACUGGUCCGGACUGACGCUGAGGUGCGAAAGCUAGGGGGAGAAAAC